AGAGUGAACGCUGGCGGCAGGCCUAAUACAUGCAAGUCGAACGGCAGCACGGCAGAGCUUGCUCUGUGGGUGGCGAGUGGCGGACGGGUGAGGAAUACAUGGGAAUCUGCCCAGUCGUGGGGGAUAACGUAGGGAAACUUACGCUAAUACCGCAUGCGCCCUUCGGGGGAAAGCCGGGGGCCUUCGGGCCUGGCGCGAUUGGAUGAGCCCAUGUCGGAUUAGCUAGUUGGCGGGUAACGCCCACAAGGCGACGAUCCGUAGCUGGUCUGGAGAGGAUGAUCAGCCACACUGGAACUGAGACACGGUCCAGACUCCGUACGGGAGCAGCAGUAGGGAAUAGUGGACAAGUGGGCGCAAGCCUGAUCCAGCCAUGCCGCGUGAGUGAAGAAGGUCCGUUAGGUUAGUAAGUCUUCGUUUUAGUACCGG
rnacentral:rRNA from 1 species